CUCACACAGAACAUGUACCAGGGACUGCAGAGAAUGCCCGGUCAUGUAUUCGAGCUUAUUUUUAUGAUCUACAUGAAACUCUGUGUCGUCAAGAAGAAAUGGCUCUAAGUGUUGUUGAUGCUCAUGUUCGUGAAAAAUUGAUUUGGCUCAGGCAGCAACAAGAAGAUAUGACUAUUUUGUUGUCAGAGGUUUCUGCAGCCUGCCUCCACUGUGAAAAGACUUUGCAGCAGUUCCCACUACAGAGAAAAUUGAACAGAGGAAUGGAUGGAACAUCACAAAUUGAUCUUCACUUCUGAGAACAUAAUUUAAUCAUCCAUCCACUCUAAACAAAUUAUGCAUCAUCUAAAGUUCUUGGCAUGAUACUGGAUGCUGAAUAUUUAUUCAUUUAGCAAAUAUGUAUUGAGUAGCUAACAUAUGCCAUGUAUUUAAAAUAUAUCAGUGAACACAAUAAGCAAAAAGCCAUAAUCUUGUGAAAUUAGCAU
rnacentral:lncRNA from 10 species